GUAAUUACUGGCACUGGAGAUGGUCAUUGUGGUGACAUUGGAAAAGAAGAAACUAAAAUGUAAUUUGACAGCGUGAAAGACUUAAAAUUUUCAGUAUGGUGUGUAGAGAAUGCAGAUAUGUGCCGUCUUCUUUUGAGAAUUGCUGAAAUCUUCUAUUUCAUGUCUUCGAAUGCCAUAUAGUUAUUACUUAUUUGAUCCUAGCAACCUCCCUG
rnacentral:misc_RNA from 1 species